UGCUGGGGCCGAGACUCAUACACCA
rnacentral:piRNA from 1 species